CCUCUUCGGAGGAAGACCUGAGUUCUUCGAAGCUGUGUAGUUUACGAGAAAUCAGCCUCGGAGGUGCUCCGGGGUGGGCUGCUAUUCCAUGGAAAAGGGAUUUUACAGUCUUGGGUGCUGUUAUAUAAUGAUCACCAAAGGUUUCUGUAACGUCCACGCUGAUUUAAAAACCCGCAGAGACCCGCGCGAGCUGUUUCCUGUGCCAUGUCAGCCGCCAUGUUUGCUUUUCAACAAAACUACAACGUCUGUAAGGCAGAGCAUAAACACCAGAAGCCUGGUUCAUCCAGUCCUGGUCUCCUCGUCUCCGCCGCUCCUGAGCCUGCUGCUCUGCGUAGAGGAUGAGUAAAGCCGAAACCUGCUCUUGGUCUUUAAACGGGCUGGGCCUGUAGCUGGUCCGGAGCCAAGCACGAUAC